GACGAACGCUGGCGGCGCGCUUAAUACAUGCAAGUCGAGCGAUGAAACUUUAACAGUACUUUUCGGGUCGAAGCUACAGAGGGUUAGCGGCGGACGGGUGAGUCACACGUUAGUAAUCUGCCUUCGACAUUGGGAUAGCGCUGGGAAACCGGGAUUAAUUCCAACUCAAAUUAUAAUGACACAUGUCAUAACGACUAACACUCCGGUGGUCUAAGAUGUACGCGCGUCUCAUUAGUUAGUUGGCAGAGUAACAGCCUAACAAGGCGACGCUGGCCAGCCGGCCUGAGAGGGUGAGUGGCCACAUUGGAACGGAGCAGCAGUCCAAACUCCUACGGGAGGCAGCAGUGGGGAAUAGUGCACAGUGGAGUGAGCUCUGAUGCAGCGACGCCGGGAGAACGAAGUUAGCAGGCGAGACGUAAAGUGCAAUUAUAUGGGAAGAUAAUGACGGUACCAUAAGAGAAAGCCCCGGCUAACUACGUG
rnacentral:rRNA from 1 species